CCGGGGCGGGUAAUAUAGCGGCUCGCCGAGGCGCUGGUGCGCGGGGGCAGCGCGCAGCAGGCCGGCGGGCAGGCGGGCGGGCUGGCUGGCAGGCAGGACUGGGAUCGAGGCCCAGAAAACGGAGCAGCGGGCACCAGGGAGGCCUGGAACGGGGCGAGCGCCAUGAGCAACAAAUGCGACGUGGUCGUGGUGGGGGGCGGCAUCUCAGAUCAAUUUCUGUCAAUUGAUUUCCAACAAGCCUCUUGACUACCCCCUAUGAACAUUAGUGAGCUAAAUUAAACAUCAGACUCUGGGCCUCUAUUGACAAACCGUAUCCACUUGUAAGGCAGCAGCCAAACUUCUGCAUGACUCUGGACUGAAUGUGGUUGUUCUGGAAGCCCGGGACCGUGUGGGAGGCAGGACUUACACUCUUAGGAACCAAAAGGUUAAAUAUGUGGACCUUGGAGGAUCCUAUGUUGGACCAACCCAGAAUCGUAUCUUGAGAUUAGCCAAGGAGCUAGGAUUGGAGACCUACAAAGUGAAUGAGGUUGAGCGUCUGAUCCACCAUGUAAAGAUUCCAGUCUCCCACCAUGCUGC
rnacentral:lncRNA from 1 species